rnacentral:rRNA from 1 species
UACGAAGGGGGCUAGCGUUGCUCGGAAUCACUGGGCGUAAAGGGUGCGUAGGCGGGUCUUUAAGUCAGGGGUGAAAUCCUGGAGCUCAACUCCAGAACUGCCUUUGAUACUGAGGAUCUUGAGUUCGGGAGAGGUGAGUGGAACUGCGAGUGUAGAGGUGAAAUUCGUAGAUAUUCGCAAGAACACCAGUGGCGAAGGCGGCUCACUGGCCCGAUACUGACGCUGAGGUGCGAAAGCUAAGGGAGCGAACGGGG